rnacentral:rRNA from 1 species
GACCCCAGGUCAGGCGGGAUCACCCGCUGAGCUUAAGCAUAUCAAUA